rnacentral:rRNA from 1 species
AGUGAACGCUGGCGGCAGGCCUAACACAUGCAAGUCGAACGGCAGCACGGCAGUAGCAAUACUGUGGGUGGCGAGUGGCGGACGGGUGAGGAAUACAUCGGGAUCUACCCUGUUGUGGGGGAUAACGUAGGGAAACUUACGCUAAUACCGCAUAAGAACUGAGGUUGAAAGCGGCGGACCGCAAGGCGUCGCGCGAUUGGAUGAACCGAUGUCCGAUUAGCUAGUUGGCGGGGUAAAGGCCCACCAAGGCGACGAUCGGUAGCUGGUCUGAGAGGACGACCAGCCACACUGGAACUGAGACACGGUCCAGACUCCUACGGGAGGCAGCAGUGGGGAAUAUUGGACAAUGGGCGAAAGCCUGAUCCAGCAACGCCGCGUGAGUGAUGAAGGCCUUAGGGUUGUAAAGCUCUUUUACCAGGGAUGAUAAUGACAGUACCUGGAGAAUAAGCUCCGGCUAACUCCGUGCCAGCAGCCGCGGUAAUGUACAGUGUCC